CCUACAACUUGUGUGGUGUUUACUGGCGUAUUAUAUAUAAUGGAAGGAAGGUGGUGUGGGAUUGGGAAAGGAGGAGCGAAACUUGUACCAGACUGUCUAUCAGAAUAAUGGUUCCCAGGGCUCACUACGUGAUGAGUCUCUUCAUCCUAGUGCUAUUGUUCUCAUCCGAAGCAGCGUUUGCCAGAGUUUCCCACUUUUCAGAACCAAAGACAACGAAGGUAGCGAGCUUCUGGAGAUGAAUAAUAUUAACCUGGCAAAGAAAAUAAGCGGAAAUUCAGGCCAUGGUGUCUUGCAUUCUUCAAACGCCCCAGCACCAUCUCCAGGCAUAGGAGAAGAGGACCCGUACGUUUCUGGAUCGGAAACAUUUGCUGGCCGGCCCGGACUCAGCUAGCGGUACAAUACUACAGCCGAGGGGCGGUGUCAAUGAACAAUUAGAGUGGUCAGCUGACCCUUCUCAUAUUUGGAAUAUAUUGUAUUUGGUUUUUAUAUUUACCAGUCAAAAUAAUAUGGAAAUAUGGUGUGGUUGAUCAA